rnacentral:rRNA from 1 species
UAAGCGAGUAGUGAAAGCGUGUGGCUCAACCAUACUCACAUUAUUCGAACUGCUAAGCUAGAGGAUGAGAGAGGUUAUUGGAAUUCCCAGUGUAGGAGUGAAAUCCGCAGAUAUUGGGAGGAACACCGAUGGCGUAGGCAGAUAACUGGCUCAUUCCUGACACUAAGGCACGAAAGCGUGGGGAGCAAACGGGAUUAGAUACCCCGGUAGUCCACGCCGUAAACUAUGGAUGCUA